AAUGCUCAUAGCGGUGGUUGCGCAACCA
rnacentral:sRNA from 1 species